AUUGAACGCUGGCGGCAGGCCUAACACAUGCAAGUCGAACGAGGCAGCAAUGCCUAGUGGCGGACGGGUGAGUAACGCGUGGGAACGUGCCCCUUGGUACGGAAUAGCCCUGGAAACUGGGAGUAAUACCGUAUGUGGUCGAGAGACGAAAGAUUUAUCGCCAAGGGAUCGGCCCGCGUUGGAUUAGGUAGUUGGUGGGGUAAUGGCCUACCAAGCCGACGAUCCAUAGCUGGUUUGAGAGGAUGAUCAGCCACACUGGGACUGAGACACGGCCCAGACUCCCACGGGAGGCAGCAGUGGGGAAUCUUAGACAAUGGGGGAAACCCUGAUCUAGCCAUGCCGCGUGAUCGAUGAAGGCCUUAGGGUUGUAAAGAUCUUUCAGGUGGGAAGAUAAUGACGGUACCACCAGAAGAAGCCCCGGCUAACUCCGUGCCAGCCGCCGCCGUAA
rnacentral:rRNA from 1 species